UAUGGUAAACUAUAUUCUGACUCAGUGUC
rnacentral:piRNA from 1 species